GUGCCAGCCGCCGCGGUAACACCGGCGGCCCGAGUGGUGAUCGUGAUUAUUGGGUCUAAAGGGUCCGUAGCCGGUUUGGUCAGUCCUCCGGGAAAUCUGACGGCUCAACCGUUAGGCUUUCGGUGGAUACUGCCAGACUUGGAACCGGGAGAGGUAAGAGGUACUACAGGGGUAGGAGUGAAAUCUUGUAAUCCCUGUGAGACCACCUGUGGCGAAGGCGUCUUACCAGAACGGGUUCGACGGUGAGGGACGAAAGCUGGGGGCACGAACCGGAUUAGAUACCCGGGUAGUCCCAGCCGUAAACGAUGCUCGCUAGGUGUCAGGCAUGGCGCGACCGUGUCUGGUGCCGCAGGGAAGCCGUGAAGCGAGCCACCUGGGAAGUACGGCCGCAAGGCUGAAACUCAAAUAAAUUGACGG
rnacentral:rRNA from 1 species